rnacentral:rRNA from 1 species
AGCGAACGCUGGCGGCAGGCCUAACACAUGCAAGUCGAACGAACCCUUCGGGGUUAGUGGCGGACGGGUGAGUAACACGUGGGAACGUGCCUUUAGGUUCGGAAUAACUCAGGGAAACUUGUGCUAAUACCGAAUGUGCCCUUCGGGGGAAAGAUUUACCGCCUUUAGAGCGGCCCGCGUCUGAUUAGCUGGUUGGUGAGGUAAUGGCUCACCAAGGCUACGAUCAGUAGCUGGUCUGAGAGGAUAACCAGCCACAUUGGGACUGAGACACGGCCCAAACUCCGACGGGAGGCAGCAGUGGGGAAUCUUGCGCAAUAGGCGAAAGCCUGACGCAGCCAUGCCGCGUGGAUGAUGAAGGUCUUAGGAUUGUAAAAUCCUUUCACCGGUGAAGAUAAUGACUGUAGCCGGAGAAGAAGCCCCGGCUAACUUCGUGCCAGCCGCCGCCGUAACAC